CUUUUUUUUUCCCUCUCAAUCAUCACCAUAAUCAUCAACCUUUCCAUGUUUUCGGUUCAAUCAUUAACUCUUUUCCAUAAUUUUACGAGACCGAAAUGCGCUAUAAAUACGACGUACCCACAUCUCGACACAGCACACACACCACAAACACCUUCACGUUUCGAACAUCGCCGGAGCGAACCACAGCUCGCCGGAGACUCGGAGAAGACGGACGAGAACACACCGAAGUCGUAUGAAGGAUCACGGCCGGAGUUUAUGUCGGACUCAUCGGUCAUCUUAUUGGUCAUCUUAUUCGUUUCGUAUAGUUCCUUUUAAUGAAAGAGACGAUUCACCGAAGUUUGAAGCUUCGCCGGAGCCGUACGGAGGUCGAAGAGGACAGUUCUUCAUCGUGUUCGGUUAACUAUUCCGUUCGCUCUCUUGGAUUCUCCAAUCUUUACUCGUACGUUCUUACAAGAAAGCGCAACGCAAUCAAUGUUGAAAGUACAAGAUUCAAGAAUCAAGCUAGGAUGAACUCUAGAAACCCACA